UACGAGGGGGCAAGCGUUGUUCGGAAUUAUUGGGCGUAAAGGGUGCGUAGGCGGUCUGACAAGUCUGAUGUGAAAUCUAUGGCUCAAACCCAUAGUCUGCAUCGGAAACUGUCGGGCUUGAGUAUGGGAGAGGUGGGUGGAAUUUUCCGGUGUAGCGGUGAAAUGCGUAGAUAUCGGAAGGAACACCUGUGGCGAAAGCGGCUCACUGGACCAUUACGUGACGCUGAGGCACGAAAG
rnacentral:rRNA from 1 species